ACGCUGGCGGCGUGCCUAAUACAUGCAAGUCGAGCGGACAGAAGGGAGCUUGCUCCCGGAUGUUAGCGGCGGACGGGUGAGUAACACGUGGGUAACCUGCCUGUAAGACUGGGAUAACUCCGGGAAACCGGAGCUAAUACCGGAUAGUUCCUUGAACCGCAUGGUUCAAGGAUGAAAGACGGUUUCGGCUGUCACUUACAGAUGGACCCGCGGCGCAUUAGCUAGUUGGUGAGGUAACGGCUCACCAAGGCGACGAUGCGUAGCCGACCUGAGAGGGUGAUCGGCCACACUGGGACUGAGACACGGCCCAGACUCCUACGGGAGGCAGCAGUAGGGAAUCUUCCGCAAUGGACGAAAGUCUGACGGAGCAACGCCGCGUGAGUGAUGAAGGUUUUCGGAUCGUAAAGCU
rnacentral:rRNA from 1 species